UGCCUCCAUCAGGAACUGCAAUUAUGCACACAUUCAGCCACCUAAAGUUGUCCCACAGCUCAGAUGCAAUAUUCUUUUUUUUAAAUUCUUUUCUCUUUGUGUGUUCCAUUUUGGGUAUUCUCUAUUGCUAUGGCUUCAAGUUCACUAAUCUUUUCUUCUGUGUUUUCUAAUCAGGUAUUAAUAUCAUUCAGGUAUUAAUAUCAUCUUGGAUUCUGUUUUCAUCUGAUAUGGAGAAGCAUUGGAUCUGAGUGGGACACAUCCUCUCUAAUGCACCCUGCCUUUUCCGCUGCUCCAAAUUUCACACAAGCGUCAGAAAAAUUCAAGACAAUCUAGAAAAUCUAAGUACAAAUACAAAAAGGAAAGUGUUUUCUUUCAAAGCUGUGAAUUAUAUAAAGUGAGUAAGCUCAAUAAACAUUUGCAGAAGUGGGAACAUGUGUUAGUUCAUUCUUGCAUUGCUAUAAA
rnacentral:lncRNA from 10 species